rnacentral:rRNA from 1 species
AUGCCGUUUGGCCUUUGCAAUGCACCGGCAACCUUCCAGUGCCUAAUGAACAGCAUAUUCGGCCGCUAUGUCCGUAAGUUCAUCAUCAUUUUCCUUGAUGACAUAUUGGUCUUCAGCUUUGAUCUACAGGAACAUGAACAACACUUGCGCCUCACACUUGAACUGCUACGCGAACAUCAACUGUUCGCCAAGGCUUCCAAGUGUUCUUUCGCCCAGGAAAGCAUCGAGUACCUGGGCCACAUCAUUUCACAGGCCGGUGUCGCCACGGACACAAGCAAGACGAGCGCAAUGCAGGCGUGGCCGGUGCCCUCUACACUAACUGAAUUGCGUGGUUUUCUUGGCCUCACCGGCUACUACCGCAAGUUCGCCUAA